rnacentral:rRNA from 1 species
UACGGAGGGUGCAAGCGUUGUUCGGAAUCACUGGGCGUAAAGCGCGUGUAGGCGGCCUUCUAAGUCUGAUGUGAAAGUCCGGGGCUCACCCCCGGAAGUGCAUUGGAUACUGGGAGGCUGGAGUACCGGAGAGGAGGGUGGAAUUCCUGGUGUAGCGGUGAAAUGCGGAGAUAUCAGGAGGAACACCGGUGGCGAAGGCGGCCCUCUGGACGGAUACUGACGCUGAGACACGACAGCGUGGGGAGCAAUCAGC